AAAGUGAGCAUUGAUAGCAGUCCACUAUAGCACGGUUUCACUAAUUGCUAUGAACGAUUGAUUUGGGAUUUUGAUUACAUGUAAUAGCAUUUAAUCAACGCUAUAAUAAAAAAUUAAUAAGUGAGAAGCUGAAAACCCUUUUUCCGCUAAUACUUACCCAAAAAAUUUAGAAAGCCGCCAACACUUAGAAAGUUUUUUUAUCUUUUCUCAAAAACCUAAAAGAAAUCUUUCAGACUCACUCACUCACGAUUCACACGAAACUCGUCGCUUCCACCGUCGAAGCGUUGCAGCCUCUUCUCCUCCCUCUGUCCUCGCCGUCUCCGCCACUAUAGCUGAAUGUCUCUCCCCUCCUCCUCCUCCAGCUCCUAUUCUCCCGAACCAACUCACCUAAACCCUAAAUCCACUCCAAUGGCUCCUCCUCUGCCGCUGCCGCUACCAUCAAACCUAACUGACUCAACCAAAACCCCACAUCUCUGCCUCUCAAUCUAGAUCUAUCUCUCAUGAUGAAGUUUCAAUUUACAGUGGAGGAGAAUUGCAUCGGAACGGAGAAGCUGAAUUCGAUAGAGAGAGGGAAGAUUCAAAUAGUCUUAGAUCGGGAAGUAGAUAGAGAGAGAGGAUGUGGUUAUGGUGGUGAUGGACGGAUAACUUCAAUAAGUAGAGAUGAUUCGUUGACUCUUAUCUACGCCUUCAUCCUCACAAAAUGCCGGAGCUGUACAAUGGUUUGAGAGAGGGUAGCUUGUUGAAUAUCUUGAGUGGUGGAAAGUAAAAAAAUUGUAAGAAUACUUCAAGUGUAAGUUCUAACGCAUGAUGUGUCUAUAUUUGCUCCUCUGAUUUAGUAACUUCAUUUAUUUGAACUUUUUUGUCUAGGAAAUGAACAAGCUACGAACGAGAAUGAAUUAUGGAUACUUAUGUCCCAUGAUUUGAUGAUGUCUUCUUUGACCUUCAGAUUGCAGGGGAGGAUUUUGGAAGCAUAAGUAAUUCUUUAAAGGCAAAGUGUUGAAGACGCUGAAGUUUCCCUAGCUGGUACAUUAAAUUGCUCAAUGCUAUUUGCAUAAGUUUUAUUAGCUGCUUUCCCUUUUAUUGAAAAGUAGUUUCUUACAUUGUUAACUUUGCUACCUCUUCCUCUUCCAAGCUCUUCUUCUAUGAACCACAUAGUGAUGAUUUCAAGGAUGAUUCAACAUGGCUUGAGCUUUUUGAUCACUAGAAUGUGAUAAGUGGGUAGAGAAAGGAAUUGCUUCAGCCAUAGCACCAAGCUUGAAGGAAGAACAAGAACAAGAACAAGUCUUAAACAAUAAAGCACCAUUUGGAGUUUUGACGCAAGAACCAGAACAGUUAGAAUUUGUGAUCGUAGAUAGGGUAUUUUUCUUUGUCCCUUAUCUCAUAAAUUAGUACUCUUGUUGUAUAAGAGUCGUAGUUGAUGUUUUUAUAUAAGGUUUGGUUUGUAUUA